GCUCUGGGGAGUGGUUCAUCUGCGCUCACCCCAAAGGGGAGGGAAGGAGAAAUAGCCUUAGGCUGGAACAAUCUCUGUGAGCACUGUGAAGAAUCACUGGGGCCCCCUCACUGUGUAGAGACUUUUACAUUGCACUGGGGACACGGCAAGGGAGUUUAUAUCCCCAAGUUUCCCAAAUUUUGGGAUGCAAGUGAUGUUAGAACCCAGAUAUGUCUGGCUCUUGCCCAAGCAGGCUCACACAGGAGUGUGAGCCAUCUGAACUGCCUGCUCUCCUUUGCUGCUGCUUUUGAGACUCCUUGGGGAAGCUUGCAAGUGGACAAAGAUUCUGAAGGUGUGAGGAACUAUCCUGCAGAUAGAUACACCCGGCUCUUCUGCCUUCCGGAGUCUUGGGAAAGGGCAGAGGGCACCAUCUGGAGAUCCUAGAAAGGGAAUGUGGGAAGACUGCAAUUCUUUCCUUGCAAGACUUCAAGACUUCAAAGACACUGGCUGAUCUUAGCCUGGCCCCUGGUAGAGGAAACUACUUAAGGCCUCAUGAGCAAGCCUCAUCAGACCAGUAGUCAGCAUUGCCCUCCCCAGGGUGUAAAGAGUCACCUUUAAUGAUGGUAAACACAAAGAGGGCAAAUGACACUACUGCCUGGUGACAAGUUAUGAAGCAGGAACUUCAGCAGGAAUGAAUCGCUGUCUAGGCAAAUGGUGAAAUGUCUUUGCCACCUGAAAGCUGCCUGCCCGUGUGGCCGGGUCACAGACUUCCUUGGUUUCCGCUGUGAACAUUUCAACAGGCCUGCGUUCUGGUUCCUAGAACCCUCUUCAGGAAACCACACAAGUGACCCUCAAAAUGCUGGAACUAUUCACCCUGAACUUCUAAGCCUUCACUGUCUCUGAAUGCCUGGUCUCCUGCCAUCUGAAAGCUGAAGUCAGUUAGAGAUUCUAAUCUCCUGCUGCAAGGUCCCUUUGGCAUCCACAGUCAGAUGUCACGUGGGGUCACUGUGGCCUGUUUGUGGUGGAAAGUUCCAGGUAGUUUCAGUUGCUCUUGCAGCCGACUGAGAGAACAAGAGAUGAACGCUAACAGGAAGGUUGGUCGCCUGAGGUAUGCUAAAAAUACUCUGAUGCUUGUCAUGUGUGGGUGAUUAUUUUUAGUCCAAGGAAGAGGAUUUGACAUAGACCUGGGGGCUCCUUAGUGUCCGACGGAACUAGAAAGGUGUGCAGCUGAACUAAGCAGCCAUUUCAGUCCCCCUGAUCCACUCUAACCCUAACCCUUCUUGCAUGUCCCCUAGUGAUGAGAAGACAAAACUGAUACCAGCAUUCCUUCUGCAGUGGGCUUCUCUCUUCCUCCCUAGGUUGUUGGCCAAUGAGAGGUAUACCAGGUCUGGACUCCAGCAGCUGGACUCCAGGCCCCCAGAAGCACUGACCCUCUGCUACAGAAUACAGUCUGUGGCUUCAGAUGUCCCUGUCCUAUACUCACAGGUGGACCCAACUGUUAGACCGAUGCCUGAGGCCAAGGAAGGACAAAUCAGGAGUGGCCGCUUGAAUCCCACUGGACCUGUGAAUGUGGGCUGUUUUACCAGCGCUCUCUCACAGACACUGUGCCAGAGCAGCUGAGGGUUACUGCAUCUUUCUCAGUCUACCAUCAUCUUAUACAAAAUGCCAUGGAUCCCAUGGCUUAAGCAGCAGAUACUCAUUUCUUACUGUUCUGAAGGCUGAGAAAUCCAAGAUCAAAUGUCACUAGAGUUCCAGGUAACACUUCCUGGAUGCCUUCUGGCUAUGUCUUUACAUGUCUCUUUCUCUCUUCCUCUGAAUGGACAGAGAGGGGCAUCUCUGCUGUCCCAUCCUCUUCUUUAAGACCAACAGUUCUCUCAUACUGGAGACUCGCCCUUGUGGCCUUACUUAAUUUGAAUUCCAUCCUAAGGCUCCCAUCUCCCAAUAUUCGCACUGGAGACUGAGACUUCUACAUACAGACUUGAGAGAUAGGGGACACAUUCAGGCUUCUACUGUACCUGUACCUUUUGUGGACAUUCCAGAUAUUCCAAGUAACCCCCAUAUCCCUUUCUCAGAGGACUAUGCUCUGGUUCCCAAAACUGUCUGGUAAGGGCAAUGGUGAGAGUUAGAUUUCUUCCAUAAAUGAUGGAUUUUAACCAAUGAAUGACAGGCAGGAGUAGGCAGAAAUGCUCAGCCCCCAGCAGGACAACAGUGGCUGUCCAAAGGAAACUUGGAGAUGGUAUAAGUCACACCCCAGUUGUCUCCUCACUGAGCCCUUCUGUGAGAUUUACUCUGUCCUAGGAUUGCUUUUUCUUUGCACUUCUCAAAGUUCCUGAGGAGGGCUUGCUUCUGGGAUUCCCAGCAACAACAAACAAAGGAAAACAGCCAAGGUACAAGCUACAGUGUUGGCUCCCAAAACCCAGGAUUGACCCAGCACCCCUCAACUCAGACAUCUUCUCUUGACUUUAAGGACCAGGUUUCCUACAUCAUGUCAAUAAAGAUCCUUAGUGAACAAAAGGACCUUGCUGUAGAUGAAUAGCCUGUAACUAUUUUCCCAUUUUCUAGAAUCAUUUUGACCAUUUCAGCUCAAAGUCAGCACCAAGGGGAAAUCUACGUGUCUUCUUAAUUCAGUGCAUUCCUGGCAUCAUCAGCCAAAACUUCCAAAGAAGCUAAUGGGCCUUUUAUGGUAGUCACCAAUUCAAAAACGUUUCCAAAAUAGCUGGGAUUCCUUUUGCCUUGUUUGCCUGGGUCUAAUGAUUCCUGGGAAUCCUGUCCAUGUGAUCAGAACUCAGCAGGAAGAGUAUUUCAGGGACUUGGCUAUCUAAGUUUCUAAGGAAUGUGCUUCCAAAGUUUUGUCAUGGAUGAGAAGCUGAGUGCGGAAAAGAGGAGAGUAAGACAGAAGAUAGAAGAGGCCAUGGGCAGCAACAGCCUUGGCCUUGUGGAAGUAGUGACAGGUCUGUGACUUAUAGGGAAGUACUCUGAGGCCUUGCCUGUGCUCUUAGCCCUCAGGUCUAGGAGGCCUGAUGAGGAACAUCAUACUCACUAGAGUUGAGAUUAGAGGGAGAAAUGUCUUCGAUUCCCACCUCAGCAACACUUUUGAAGAUUGUAGCAAUGGAGAAGUGGGAAACAAUGAGAUUUCCGUUUUGCCAAUAAUGGUAUUUUAAUUAAAACAGUGGUAUUUUAAUUAUCUUUUGAUGGUUAAAAAUGAGCAAGUUAAAAUUGCAGUGUAUUUUAGAAAGGCCAAGCAAUUUCUGGUAGGUCAGAGGUUACUUUGGGCAAACAUGUUCACAAGUAAGGAACAUCACACCUGCUGUUUCAGGGCCAAAUGAGCAAUGUAAAACCAGGCUGGAGAAAACUCUGCUGGAACAAACUCCGCUGGAGUUCAACACUCGACAGGGUUCUGGAUUCCCACCAACCCCGUGAAUGCCUAUAGAGGAGGCAGGCAGUGUGAGAGGUGGCCUAUUCCUUAGAUACCAGUGUUUCCGUGUGGACUUUAAGGUCGUGAGAUAAAUGGAGAAGGAGCUCACUUUGCCUAUUUUCCCAUUGUGUCACCCAGUGUUCAGCAACAUGUGUUUGGUGGAGAUGAUGGAGUUUACCAAAGCAACUUGCUUCUCUGUAGCUCACCACUGAGGAGGGGAAGCAAAGACAGAGGAGAAGCUGCUAGGAGGCAAAGAUGCAUAAAGACUUCAAGGACGAUGAAACUAUGCGGGGGCUGGAAUUCUUCUGUUCAGUUUGGAGUGACUGAGAGUCUGUUUAUCUCUUGAAAAUGGAAGUUCCAAAGGCUUUGGAGUGAUAUUCUCUUCUACCAAGUCUGAAAAAGAACAAUAGGGCAUGGAGUGUAGUUUGCUAACCCAUCAGUCUGUAGAGAAGCAGAAGCCUGAGUCACUGUUCUGUGUGUAAAACCAUGUCCUACAAGAGUUCACUGAAUAUGCGGGCAGGAAUGGAGGACACGGCCUCAGAACAGAGUCACUUUACAGGGCUUCUGACUUCUGCACCUCUUUUCUUGACCCGAUAAUCCUGAGACAACCUUCUUUGGGUCUGUCUAGAACUACUUCUCUUCUGAAGUGGCCAUGAGCAUGGGUGGCCUUUUAGGUUACGUAUACUCAGCCAGUUGGAUCAUGGAGCCAGACUAAAGAGACCAUGAAUAAAAGCUGAGUUUUCGGC